GUUAUAGGGUCAAGCGAACAAGUGCAUGUGGUGGAUGCCUUGGCGAUCACAGGGCGAUGAAGGACGCGGUAGCCUGCGAAAAGCUUCGGGGAGCUGGCAAACAAGCUUUGAUCCGGAGAUGUCCGAAUGGGGAAACCCGGCCCGAAUGGGUCAUCCCUGACUGAAUACAUAGGUUACGGAAGCGAACGCGGCGAACUGAAACAUCUAAGUAGCUGCAGGAACAGAAAUCAACCGAGAUUCCCAGAGUAGUGGCGAACGAAAUGGGAAGAGCCUUGUACUCUUUAGCAGCAUUGUUAGCAGAACGGGAUGGAAAGCCCGGCCAUAGCAGGUGAUAGCCCUGUAUGCGAAAACAGCGUUGUGGAACUAGGUGUACGACAAGUAGGGCGGGACACGUGAAAUCCUGUCUGAAGAUGGGGGGACCAUCCUCCAAGGCUAAAUACUCGUGAUCGACCGAUAGUGAACCAGUACCGUGAGGGAAAGGCGAAAAGAACCCCGGGAGGGGAGUGAAAUAGAUCCUGAAACCGCAUGCAUACAAACAGUCGGAGCCCCGCUUUAAGCGCUUUCGGCGAUUCUCACGACAGUGAGAAUCGUCAAAAGACACCAGUGUGAAAUAGCACCACUGGCGCGCAAAGCGGUUUAAGCGCGAGAGCGCUUAAAGCGGGGUGACGGCGUACCUUUUGUAUAAUGGGUCAGCGACUUACAUUCAGUGGCAAGCUUAACCGAUUAGGGAAGGCGUAGCGAAAGCGAGUCCGAAUAGGGCGUUCAGUCGCUGGGUGUAGACCCGAAA
rnacentral:rRNA from 1 species